rnacentral:rRNA from 1 species
AUGCCAGACUGGCUACCUACGAGUGUGGGCUCAUUGGCCUCAUGCACGCCAUUUGACAUUGAAGAUCAUAUUAUGGGGUUGUGCUUUCUGUGUGCGGACAGACCACUACAGUUUCAACGCUUGUCCACUAUCCCUCAACACCACUGGGUCAGCAAGCUCUCUGAUUAUGAUUUUUCCAUUGAGUUCCUCCUGGGCAAGCUAAACAUUGUGGCUGAUGCCUUGUUUCGUCGGGACUCUCGGGAGGAAGACAGGGACUGCUGA